UUUUUUUUUUUUUUUUUCCCCUUCCCUCUUACUAAUUUGAAGUUUUAGCACACAGUCUUUCCGUUGUACUUGAGCAGGGAAGCAGGAAAAUCCCUUAGCAGUUCGGUAGUGGUGUUGACAGCCUGAUGAGACCCCAGCUCCAGGGCUGAGGGAGUCACUGACGGUAGGUGAUAUUAGCUCAUUUGGGUAUUCUGAACCCCGAAUACCCAUUCAGAUCUAUAUGUCUGCUUCAUUAAGGCUUAAAUGUACCAGCUCCAGGGCUGAGGGAGUCACUGACGGUAGGUGAUACUAGCUCAUUUGGGUAUUCUGAACCCCGAAUACCCAUUCAGAUCUAUAUGUCUGCUUCAUUAAGGCUUAAAUGUACCACUCUACCGUGUCCGAUAUUUAUUUGGAGUCAUUAUUUUUCCUUCUUCUAAAAAAAAAUACUGAAAAAAAUCAGCUUCUCGCUAAUUAGAGACCUCAAGUGUCAAGAAAGGGAAUCUAAUAGUAAUAGAAAAGUAGAAUCCUAGAAGAGUGACUUCCCAGUGGGUGGAAGAAUAUUUGUGUGUAGAUUUUAUGCUGUAGGAUGUUUAUAUGCCUAAUAUAGUUAAAAAUAAAAGGGAAUUUUUCUCUUUACCAUAAAUGGGUAGGGUUUUUGCCAGUUCCUUGGUGAUUCAAAUAUAUAUGGAAAACCAGGCACUGAAUAGCAGAGUGUUCUUUAGCAUCUUAUUGACAUGUGAAGCAUGUCCCCCCGGCUCCAAAAAAUGCUCUAAGAAAAAAGAUGCCAAACAAAUGGGAACACACUUAUUAGAUCCUCUUCUUGGAGAUUCUCUGUUCACAUUAGCAAAUUAAGGGAGUUUGAAGAACUGGUAGCAAAGAAACCAUUCUAAUUUUCUUUCAGCCAGGAUCUUUCACACAUCUGAGCUAUGGAUUUUAUUUUACUUAUGGCAUUUAUUAACAUUCUUUGCAAUUCUCAAGUGACAGACUUUAGAAAGGAUUGGCCAGUUAUAGCUGUCUCUGCUGCGUGGAAAGAGAAUCGGAACCAAAUACCCCAGGUGAGGAAAGUAUCAACAUGCUUUUGUUGAGUGUAUUUUAGGAGAAGGGCACCCUGUCUUAUACUGAAUAUGCCCUGUCUUAUAUUGACUAUGCUGCAAGGCACUUAUUUCCUUGGGAAAACUCUCAUUUCCUCUUGUAAACAUCCCCACCCCCAUAAGGCCUCCUAUGAAAACUAAAUAUUUAAAAACAGGGAAAUACCAGUGUAUUCUUCCCUGAUACCUGAACUCUGCUUGUUUUUAUGACUGAAUUAGCCAUUCCUGCAGAUGGGUUUGGGUAAUCUCCUGCUGAUAAAUCUCACAUCAGCUCUACUGAAACUGAAAAGAUGGCAGAAGAAUGGAUAUUGCUUUUCUACCAUAUACACUGACCAGAGGUUUCUAACUGGAUCAUCACUUUUUAUAACCUAUUUAAAAACAAAUACAUUGUUGUUCCUUUUUUCUGGAUCUCAAUAUUAUUUUUGUUUUAUAAUUGCUUUUUCCCCUCCUCUUACAUGUUUUUGAGCAAACAUGAAAACUUUCAAUUUUUUUUUCAGCAAAGUGAAAAUUGUUUAGUCUUUUUAGAAAGUCUUGCUAUAUGACUACAUAUUCUCCAAAAAACAAUAGUUGGAAAAAUGCCCUAAUUUUAUGAAACAUUAUUUUUGGCUUGGUGUAUAGCGAUGGAUCUCCUUUAGGCUCAAUAAUAUGGUAUACAUUUGGUGCAGGAAAAAAAAUUUAGGAUUGUAUUCACUUCUUUGGUAUUGAGUCAAGAAAAGGACCCCAGAGAACAUUAAUUCAGAGCGGAUGAAGCGAAUUGUGAAAAUGGUGGUGAAUCCUCAGUCAGGCUAGGAUGAGCCUUCCUGUGUCCCCCUCUUUUUCUUCUUUGCUUUUUCAGGAUCCGCUCCCCUUCCUGUUGAUGUUUUCCCCUUUCCUCUCUUCCUAGUGGGUCAGGAGAUUCGAGGCACCCAUCCUCCUGUCGGGCAAUAGCUAAGGAAGAGCCUAAAAUAGCAGUUCAAAGAGACAGGCUCCUCUAGCACAAAUUUUAGGGGAGAGGAAUGAAGAGGCUAGUCUAAGUUUGAAGUCUGCCGCUAACUAGUCAUGUGCCAAGCAUGUCAUUCUAGUAAGGUGGAGUUUCAGUUCUGUAGCUAAACAACUUUGUGACCUGUUGUGGUAAUUCUCCUUUGAAAACAAUUAAUGGAUACCAAACUUUGUUCUUUUAUUUUUCCAUCUAACAAAUAUUUAUGAAAUACUUACCAUGUGCCAAGCAUUGUUGAAAGAUUCUGAGGAUAUAGAAAUGAGAAAAAAUGAUAUGAUCCCUGCCCUCACGGAGUUACUACUUUCUAAUGCGGAGACUUUAAAUAAUGGUAAAACAUCCCACAUUUUCAUGACUUUUGAUUUCCUCCCUGUGCUUUUAAAUUUUAUGUUCUAGCAAGGAGAGCUGCUGACAUCAGGUUUUUUUUUUUUUUUUUUUUUUUGUAAAAGAAAGUGCAUUAAUAUUUAUAUAAGAAUGUACUGUCAGAAUAUCCCCCCCUUUUUUUUUAAAGGAAGAAUUCCACUAACUUAUAUCUGGAGAUUAGCAUGCUUUCUUGAAAUAUGAAAUGAUAUUUCAGUGGUUUUCAGUGUUUAAACACUAAGCAUACCACAGAUUCUAAGAGUAGCUUUUUGAUGUUUCUUUUUCUUUGUAGAUUUAUCAUUGUACAUAUUAAAUAUUAUCUGUCUUCCAGAUGAUCUUUAAUGAAAGGAGACUGUUGUCUUUGAUUCUUGCCCUGGGCACAGAAUGAUAUUUUAAGUUGAAAGUAUUACAGAGUUUUAAAUUUAGUUAUCUUUUAGAAGAAUUAUGCCAUACUGUAUGUGACACUGUUAAUAGCAUUAAAUUCCAAAGGUUUCAAUUAAAGUGAGUUUCCAAACAUUGAUGAUAGGGGAAGAAAACUGAGCAGGCAAAGUUGGUUUAUAGUAAUUCAUCAUAGCUAGACUCUGGAUCUUUGUUCAGAAAACUUACCUCAUUCAGCCUGGCGGUCAUUCCUAUGUGGUGUUAGGCAGGUAGGUAGAUUUUCCUUUUCUUCUGCAUUUAUGUUCCAUGGGAAACUUUGGCCUGAGUGCAGCUUCUUUGCAUGCUUGGGAAAGAUGAUGGCACAGAUGUCUCCUAUCACUGAUGUUCUUAUUAGUUAUUAGAAAUUCCACUUAAUGUUUGCAAAUUUGACAGCUGCCGUGAAGUUGUAAAGACUGUAGGGUCAAGAAUUUGGGAAGAAGGAGAAGGGCAGAAUAGAUGUUGAGAAAAGUCUCUAUGGACUAGGAGACUACAUUUCUGGUCUCUCCCAGGGUGCCUGAUAGUUAUAUCCUUCAAAGAGAUACAACAGAAAGUAAGCCUCCACGUCCUCAUUCCAAGACAGACCUCUCUCCUCCCUGCUUUCUUCCUUCCACAAGCAUUCAUUGAACAUGUGUUGUGCUGAGGACAAAGAUGGCUCUGUCAUCUACCCUGUCUGGCUAUCAUUCAGAUGUAGAUACAUUUUAGCCAUGGACUCUAUUAUUAUUUUUUAUUGUGGUGAAAUAUGCAUAACAUUUAUUAGGAGUUCCUGUUGUGGCUCAGCAGUAAUGAACCUGACUAGUAUCCAUGAGGAUGCGGGUUUGAUCCCUGGCCCUGGUCAGUGGGUUAAGGACCUGGCGUUGCCGUGAGCUGUGGUGUAGGUCGCAGAUGCAGCUCGGAUCUGGUGUUGCUGUGGCCCAGACCAGCAGCUGCAGCUCUUAUUCAGCUCCUAGCCCAGGAACUUCCAUAUGCCCUGGGUGUGGCCCUAAAAAGGAGGAAAAAAAAAGUUAUCAUUUAAAGUGUAUAUUUCAGUGGCUUUAGGAACACUGGAGUUUGUUGUGCAGCAAACUCCAAACUUUUUCAUGUUCCCUGAUUGAAACACUGUUCUGUACCCAUUAAACAAUAACUUCCCAUUCUCCCCUCCCCCCAGGUUCUUGGCAACCACCAUUCUACUUUCUGUCUCUAUGAAUUUGACUGUUCUAGGUACCUUAAAUAAGCAGAAUCUUACAAUAUUUGUCCUUCUGGGUCUGGCUUAUUUCAGUUUGCAUAAAGUCUUCAAGAUUCAUUCAUAUUGUAGCAUGUCUCAGAAUAUCCUUCCAUUUUAAGCCUGAAUAAUAUUGUGCAUAUAUAUCACAUUUGUUUAUCUAUUCAUCUGCCAGUGGACAGUUGGGUUGUUUCUACCUGUGUGAAUAAGGCUACUGUAAACCUUGAAGUAUGAGUAUUGUUCAAGUCCCUGCUUUCAGUUUCUUUAUUUAUUAUAUACCUAGAAGUGGAAUUGCUGAGUCUUCUGGGGGGAACUACUAUAGUGUUUUCCACAGUGUGUUGCACCAUUUUACGUUCCCAUCCCAAAUAUAUGAAGGUUCCAGUUUCUCCAUACUCAUAAAUACCUAUUUUUUGUUUUGUUUUGUUUUGUUUUAAAUAAUAGUCGUCUUACUGGAUAUGAAGAGGUACCUCACUGUAGUUUUGAGUUACAUUUCCCUAAUGACUAGUGUUACCGAGCAUCGUCUCAUGGGCUUCCUGACCAUUUGUAUCUCUUCUUUGGUAUAAUGUUUAUCCAAGUACUUUUGCCCAUUUUUAAAUUGAGUUGUUUGUUUUGUUGUUGUUGUUGAGUUGCAGAAGUUUUAAAAACUAAAUUCUGACUAUCAAUCCCUUAUCAGAUAUAUGAUUUUCAGAUAGUUUUCCCAUUCUGUAGGUUGUCUUUUCAUUCUUUUUAUACUGUCUUUUGAUGCACAAAAGUAAGUUAUUUUGGUGAAGUCCUGUUUAUUCACUUUUUUCUUUUCUUGCCUGUGCUUUUUGUGUCAUAUCCAAGAAAUCAUUGCCAAAUAGUCAUAUACUCUUAAUUCAGGUAUAUUUAUUUAUUAUAUACAUGAAUUAUGUUCCAAACAAAAAAAAAUUGAAAUUUUAAAAGGGUGAGGAAAAAGGUGAAAAGUAAGUAGAUACAUUAAUUUUUUUUUCACUGUAUAUCCCUGUGGUUGAGUUUGCUACAUUGAUUUUGAAAAUCUUGCUUUUAAGUUCUGGUUCUAAGUUUGGUGUCUUUCCGUAACUGCUGC
rnacentral:lncRNA from 1 species